GGUCCCGUAGCUCAGUUUGUUAGAGCGUUGGUCUUAUGAGUCGAAGGUCGCGGGUUUGAGCCCUGCCGGGACCA
rfam:Ipomoea nil DNA, scaffold: scaffold2782, cultivar: Tokyo-kokei standard.